UAGGGAAUCUUCCACAAUGGACGCAAGUCUGAUGGAGCAACGCCGCGUGAGUGAAGAAGGUCUUCGGAUCGUAAAGCUCUGUUGUUGGUGAAGAAGGAUAGAGGCAGUAACUGGUCUUUAUUUGACGGUAAUCAACCAGAAAGUCACGGCUAACUAUGUGCCAGCAGCCGCGGUAAUACGUAGGUGGCAAGCGUUGUCCGGAUUUAUUGGGCGUAAAGCGAGCGCAGGCGGAAUGAUAAGUCUGAUGUGAAAGCCCACGGCUCAACCGUGGAACUGCAUCGGAAACUGUCAUUCUUGAGUGCAGAAGAGGAGAGUGGAACUCCAUGUGUAGCGGUGGAAUGCGUAGAUAUAUGGAAGAACACCAGUGGCGAAGGCGGCUCUCUGGUCUGCAACUGACGCUGAGGCUCGAAAGCAUGGGUAGCGAACAGGAUUAGAUACCCUGGUAGUCCAUGCCGUAAACGAUGAGCGCUAGGUGUUGGGGACUUUCCGGUCCUCAGUGCCGCAGCAAACGCAUUAAGCGCUCCGCCUGGGGAGUACGACCGCAAGGUUGAAAC
rnacentral:rRNA from 1 species